rnacentral:rRNA from 1 species
GAGCGGCGAACGGGUGAGUAACAUAUCGGAACGUAUCCUUAAGUGGGGGACAACCUAGCGAAAGUUAGGCUAAUACCGCAUACGCAGGGAACUGGAAAGUGGGGGAUCGCAAGACCUCACGCUUUUGGAGCGGCCGAUAUCAGAUUAGCUUGUUGGUGAGGUAAAGGCUCACCAAGGCGACGAUCUGUAGCUGGUCUGAGAGGAUGAUCAGCCACACUGGGACUGAGACACGGCCCAGACUCCUACGGGAGGCAGCAGUGGGGAAUUUUGGACAAUGGGGGCAACCCUGAUCCAGCCAUUCCGCGUGAGUGAAGAAGGCCUUCGGGUUGUAAAGCUCUUUUGUUCGAGACGAAACGGUUACGGUUAAUAACUGUGACUAAUGACGGUACCGGAAGAAUAAGCACCGGCUAACUACGUGCCAGCAGCCGCGGUAAUACGUAGGGUGCGAGCGUUAAUCGGAAUUACUGGGCGUAAAGCGUGCGCAGGCGGUUUUAUAAGCCAGAUGUGAAAUCCCCGGGCUCAACCUGGGAAUGGCAUUUGGGACUGUAAGGCUAGAGUAUGGCAGAGGAGACUAGAAUUCCUGGUGUAGCAGUGAAAUGCGUAGAUAUCAGGAGGAAUACCGAUGGCGAAGGCAGGUCUCUGGGUCAAUACUGACGCUCAUGCACGAAAGCGUGGGGA